UGGGGAAUAUUGCACAAUGGGGGAAACCCUGAUGCAGCCAUGCCGCGUGUGUGAAGAAGGCCUUCGGGUUGUAAAGCACUUUUGCAUUCGAGGAAGACAGCGUAUAAAUAAAUGCGCUAUUUGACGUUAGAGUGUGAAUAAGCACCGGCAAACUCCGUGCCAGCAGCCGCGGUAAUACGGAGGGUGCGAGCGUUAAUCGGAAUGACUGGGCGUAAAGGGCACGCAGGUGGCGAGAUAAGUUGGAUGUGAAAUUCCCGUGCUUAACAUGGGGACUGCAUCCAAAACUGUUGAACUGGAGUACUGUAG
rnacentral:rRNA from 1 species